rnacentral:lncRNA from 1 species
AUGGGAGGAGAUGGGACUGAGAGCUCAACAAUGUCUCUGAAAACUGAAGCUGCUGAAUGGAGGGUGGCUGAGAGUGAUGCUCCUGAAAGGGUAGCACCCCAGCCCCUUGGUGGAGAAGCUUGUACAUCAUUUCUGCAAAGAGCGGACACCACAGGAGCCUGUGGUGGCCAGCAAGAAAGUGCUUGCAAUUCACUUUGGGUGGAAAGCAGGAUGGAACUGACACGCCAGCUAAGGCCACAUCCAUUACGGGCAGCCAGAGCUUCAGCUGCCAGGCUGAUGGGAACUCAUUGCUGAGAUAAAGAUCUGUGCGUUGACCCGUGAGGCUGAAUUAUCAGCUAUAUGGAAAACCACUGACCUAACCAUCUUCCAGGAAAAGGCACCACGUAUUGGAAAGCAUACAGAGAGGCUUGGGAUGAAAAUUGGGAAAGACAGACCAUUUCUCCCACUGGAAGCUCUGGGACCCACUGCGGGCUCAGGGCGGGUGUUUCCGAAGUGCUUUCGUGUGGAGGAGUUUUCUACAAUGAAGUUUUCAUCGCAGCACUGAGAAAGCCUUGAUUUACUGCCCUCAGAGCAUCCAGGAUACCAGAGUUGCGUUCGAUUUCGUGUCAAUCCUUCGCAAACGCAGGGCUUAAUGCAAGCUAGACCCGCACCUUGUGGACUUUUCUUCUGCCUCGGUACCUCCCUGUUGAUCUGCUGCCUUUUCUGUUAUGGCAGUCCUAACAAGUCCAUACCAAACCCAUGUACAUCCUUUUGCAGGGUGUGGUUGUGCACCCAGGGGCGUAGGAAGCUGGACACCAGGAGUAAUGACCAUGAGUUAGACUAUGGUUAAGUUUUGCCUGUACUUUUCCCUUUUUUAUAUCACAUCUAGGCAUUAACAGGGUAUUGGGCAGAGCCAGAGCCCAGGAAGGAUGUGGGGCAGCCUAUUGCCUGUCUGUGCACUCACCAGGGAAGCAGCAGAUAACCCCAUGCCCUGCUCUUGUGUCGGGGGCAGAGGGUCCAAUGUUCUCUGCAGAAAUGCUGAAGCUUGCCUGGUGUCCUGGAAAGGCAGGUAGUCACAUCCCAGAGCAUGGGGGUAAGAUGUGGGCACAGAAACAGCACCGGUUCUUUGCAGAAAGAAAAUACUGCUGGAAAAGUGGCAGUGCAAAUCGGUCCCUUCCCAAAAAGGACUGUAACUGGGGGGCUGUAAGGAAAAACUGUUACACACAGCCCUGUUGUUU